AGCACUCCUACGGGAGGCAGCAGUGGGGAAUAUUGCACAAUGGGCGCAAGCCUGAUGCAGCCAUGCCGCGUGUAUGAAGAAGGCCUUCGGGUUGUAAAGUACUUUCAGCAGUGAGGAAGGUGGGUAUGUUAAUAGCAUAUUCAUUUGACGUUAGCUGCAGAAGAAGCACCGGCUAACUCCGUGCCAGCAGCCGCGGUAAUACGGAGGGUGCGAGCGUUAAUCGGAAUUACUGGGCGUAAAGCGCAUGCAGGUGGUUUGUUAAGUCAGAUGUGAAAGCCCGGGGCUCAACCUCGGAAUUGCAUUUGAAACUGGCAAACUAGAGUACUGUAGAGGGGGUAGAAUUUCAGGUGUAGCGGUGAAAUGCGUAGAGAUCUGAAGGAAUACCGGUGGCGAAGGCGGCCCCCUGGACAGAUACUGACACUCAGAUGCGAAAGCGUGGGGAGCAAACAGGAUUAGAUAGCCUGGUAG
rnacentral:rRNA from 1 species